rnacentral:rRNA from 1 species
GCCCUGGCUGGGCGGUCCACCAAUGGUCGGUACUGCUUUGGCUGGGGUUCACUUUCUGGCGAACCUUUGUGCCCUUUAUUGGGUGUAUUGGGAAACCAGGACUUUUACCUUGAAAAAAUUAGAGUGUUCAAAGCAGGCUUAUGCUUGAAUACAUUAGCAUGGAAUAAUAAAAUAGGACUUGGGUUCUAUUUUGUUGGUUUCUAGGACCAAAGUA